rnacentral:misc_RNA from 1 species
AAAAACAUUUCUCAUCGUUGCCUUACUUAUCAGAUGUUUCGUGAAGAACUUCAGUAUAAGUAAAUAUCAUUUUUGACGUGAAAGUGAAUAGUGUGAGUGGUUAACAGCAAGUUCCAAAUUUGUUGAGUGGCGUGACGCACUUUUGAUAAAUAUAAAGUUAUAGGAAUGGGAAGAAUAAAAAAGAAUGUUUCUAUUCUUGUGAUAAUAUCUUUUUUAAUCGAAACAAAUGGCUUUUAUGUACCGGGUGUUGCACCAGUUGAAUUUAAGAAUGGGCAAAAAAUUGAUGUUAAAGCAGUUAAAAUGACAAGUACUCAUACACAAUUACCAUAUGAGUAUUAUUCGCUCAAGUUUUGUAGACCAAAGAAUGGAACAUUUAUUUAUAAAUCUGAAAAUUUGGGAGAAGUGUUACGUGGUGAUAGAAUUGUAAAUACACCAUAUGAAGUUAUGAUGAAACAAGAUAUAAACUGUAGGUUUUUAUGUCAUGGACCAAACAAUCCAAUGACAUGGAACGAUGAAGAAUCUCAAUGUGCAAUAGAACGUAUUCAGCACGAUUACUCAGUGCAUCUAUUAAUAGAUAAUUUGCCAGCUGCUACCAAGAAAUUUGUUAAAGGAACUAAUGGAGAAGUAGUUUAUCAUGGAUAUAGAUUAGGAGGUGUUAUAGGUGAUCAAGUUUAUAUUAAUAAUCAUUUGACAUUAAAAUUAGGAUACCAUGAACAUGGAGAAAAUCAAUUUAGAGUAGUAGAAUUUGAAGUGGAAGCUCGAUCAGUAGAUAUAAGUAAAUUGAAUUAUGAUGGAAACAAGUGUAUAUUACCAUCUCAAACAAGUCCUCAGUUUAUUAAUCCUAAAGGUACUAGACUGCUAUUCUUAUAUUCCGUGAAGUGGAAAAAAUCAGAUGUGAGUUGGGCAAGCAGAUGGGACACAUAUCUAGGAAUGAAUGAUGUUAAAAUUCAUUGGUUUUCUAUUAUAAAUUCACUCAUUGUAGUUUUUUUUCUAUAUGGUAUUUUUAUUACGAUCAUGGUAAGGACUCUUAAAAGAGAUAUAGCUCGUUAUAAUGCAGGUGAUAAUGAUAGUCUAGCUGGCUUAGACGAAAGCAUUGAAGAAACUGGUUGGAAAUUAGUUCAUGGAGAUGUUUUUAGACCACCUCCUAAUUCACGUUUGUUUGCUGCUGUAAUAGGCAAUGGCAUUCAAAUAUUUUUUAUGGCACUUAUUACAAUAUUUUUUGCCAUGCUUGGAAUGCUUUCACCAGCAAGUAGAGGAGCAUUAGGAACUUGUGCUAUAUUUUUAUUUGUAUUCUCUGGAUCAAUUGCUGGAUAUUUUUCUGCACGUUUGUAUAAAACUAUGCGAGGACGAGAAUGGAGAAAAGCUGCGUUAUUGACAGCAACACUUUAUCCUGGUAUAGUAUUUACUACAUGUUUUUUUCUAAACUUCUUCAUAUGGGGAAAACACAGUUCAGGAGCAGUUCCAUUUACCACUAUGUUAGCAUUGCUUUGCCUAUGGUUUGGCAUUUCACUUCCCUUAGUAUAUCUUGGAUAUUUCUUUGGUUAUCGUAAACAUCCGUUUACACAUCCUGUUAGAACAAACCAAAUUCCUAGACAAAUUCCAGAUCAGUUAUGGUAUAUGAAUCCAAUAUUUUGUACAUUGAUGGCUGGCAUACUACCAUUUGGUGUUGUCUUCAUAGAAUUGUUUUUUAUUUUGACAGCACUAUGGGAAAAUCAAUUUUAUUAUCUUUUUGGAUUUUUAUUUUUAGUAUUUUGUAUUCUUGUCAUUUCUUGCUCUCAAAUAUCUGUAGUUAUGGUGUAUUUGCAACUAUGUGCAGAAGAUUACAGAUGGUGGUGGAGAAGUUUUAUAGUUAGUGGAGGAUCAGCUGUAUAUAUGUUAGCAUAUUCAAUUUUUUACUUUAUGACCAAAUUAGAAAUAACAGAAUUGGUUCCAACGCUGAUGUAUUUUGCAUAUACAGCAUUAAUGGUGCUUACAUUUUGGUUGUUAACUGGUACAAUUGGCUUCUUUGCUGCAUAUGCUUUCAUUCGCAAAAUAUAUGCAGCAGUUAAAUAGACUAGUCAUAGUUGUCAUAAAUGAACUCAGUGAAUGAUGUGCGAAUGUAACCUUAUCUAUUAGUUUAUGAGAAAUUAUACAUUUAAAAAUAAAUUAAAAAGCUUACUAAUAAGAAAGAUGGGUUAUUGAUAUUUCUCCA